GUGGCCAGCCGCCGCGGUAAUACCGGCAGCCCGAGUGAUGGCCGAUCUUAUUGGGCCUAAAGCGUCCGUAGCUGGCCGACCAAGUCUCCCGGGAAAUCCACCCGCCCAACGGGUGGGCGUCCGACGGAAACUGCACAGCUUGGGACCGGAAGGCUCGAAGGGUACGUUCGGGGUAGGAGUGAAAUCCUAUAAUCCCGCACGGACCACCGAUGGCGAAAGCACUUCGAGAAAACGGAUCCGACAGUGAGGGACGAAAGCUCGGGUCUCAAACCGGAUUAGAAACCCCUGUAGUCC
rnacentral:rRNA from 1 species